ensembl:lncRNA
GAGCAGCAAGGACCCAGUGACAGUUGUGUUGGCAGAGGGGAAUGAACUGACCUACUUUCAUGAUGAUGGAGUCUUGAUGGAGCUGAAGCAUAAAUAAAUGAAUAUAUUGAGUUUACAGAUUGGAUUGUGGCCUCUAUAGAGAAAACACAGGGUUAUGAAGAAACCGUAGGAGGAACAAUGGCUCGAAAAAGGACACCCGUCCUCCUCUGCUCGACUUGGAACUCAAUUUGUCCUCCCGCACAGUUUUGGCAAGAAAAAGCCAUCUGAAGGCAUAAAUAUACAUUGAGCAUCAGUCUGUGGUUUAUGGCAGAGAACCUACGCAACAAACAACAAACGUCUACGUAUUACAGCAAAAGCCUACGCUAAAAGGAAAUCGCACACUUAUACGUAGAUAUGUUUAUUUGUGUUGCCAUUGUGGGCCGCUCUCACGCUGAACUACAGGCCUGAGAGGAAGUUUCCAGUGCGGUUACCAUGACGAGGGUCUUGGAGUACAGGAAGUUCAGUGCUAAGAGAAAUGACAUCCGAGAGGGACGCAGACAAACAUUUGUCCAGAUGAACUGGGGUAACAGGAUUGUGUUUGGACAGGAGCUUCUCUCCGCAGGGAACAAGGCAAAACAAAGAAAAGCCCCCUCGGCUGGAGAGAGAGAGAGGGAUGGAAUGAGAAAGAGAGCUAGUGAAACAGUGAGUCAUGAGUGCAGCUUUGAACAACAAGGGGAAAUCCUCCUAUUGAGAGGCAUGUGCUAUGGAAACACAUCACUCAUAGAGCUCAUCAAGAAGCCUACACAAUGGAGCUAUUUAGGGAAAUUUCACAUGAAUGUCAUAUUAGCAUUCUUGGGGGAAGGGAUUAAAGACUGAGAAGGGGGUUGGAAAGGGCAGAACAAUUACCCUGAAGAGACGGUGGGCCAGACCCCUGCAGGUGGAGCUGACAGGGCGAGACCUCAGGCUGUCAUGAGCUAUUAGCUAGGCAGAGACGGCCAGAGAACACACACUCAGAAGGAGCAACUAUAUGAAGAAUAGCUUUUUUCUCCUGGUCUAGGCUAUGUCCAGCAUACUACUUGUACUGUUUCUUCUGUAUGUUGUUGUAAGUGAGGUUUGGACUACAUUCUGCAUGCAUAAUAUAUUCACUAUACAGGCUAUACAGCAAAUGACUGUGAAGUGCAAUAUAGGGCCACAGACUUUAAUCGCUCAGACUUUUCUGUAAGAGCUGUCAGUAUUUGGAACACACUACAAAAUAACAUUAGACUGUGUUCCACCUUUGCUUAAUUUAAGUUAUGACUAAAAAUAUGACUAAAGAUGAGCCAAAUAUGUGAUUGUUGAAAAACCUUUUUUAAUCAUUAUUCAUUAGAAUUCAUUCAUUUUAAGUGUAUUAGCUUUUAUUAUAGUGCAACUUGCUUGUAAUUGUAUUACUGCUAUUUGUAGUUUUUUUCUUUCUUUUUUUGCAUUAGGUGUGUUCAGUGUAUGCUAAUUAAUGGAUGUUUUAAUUACAGCGUAUAUUGCUUUUUUUUUUCCUGCUUAGGGACUGCAGAGGAAAAUUAGUAAAUUUCAAAUAAUUGAUAACUAAAUAUAUUUCUGAACAAAAUGCCCUUUAUUUCACUUUCCAUUUCCAAUAUGAAAUAAUAAAUAUAAACUGUGAUUUUUAAUACAUCAAAAAAACAAAAACAAUAUUUACUUACAUGUUGUUAACUUGAUGCCACUAAAUUUAAAAUGCUAAGUAAAGUGACAAUAAUGUAGCAUGCUAUUGUUUGUCACUGCAUACUUAUACAUAUUUAGGAGUAUACAGUGUAUAGUGACGUGACAUUCAGCCAAGUAUGGUGACCCAUACUCAGAAUUCGUGCUCUGCAUUUAACCCAUCCGAAGUGCACACACACAGAGCAGUGAACACACACACACACUGUGAACACACACCCGGAGCAGUGGGCAGCCAUUUUUAUGCUGCGGCGCCCGGGGAGCAGUUGGGGGUUCGAUGCCUUGCUCAAGGGCACCUAAGUCAUGGUAUUGAAGGUGGAGAGAGAACUGUACAUGCACUCCCCCCACCCACAAUUCCUGCCGGCCCGAGACUCAAACUCACAACCCUUCGAUUGGAAGUCCGACUCUCUAACCAUUAGGCCACGACUUCCCUACUGUGCAGCAUGCUAGCAUUGUAUUCAAUCGCAUCUAUAGAGAGUGUUUAUUGUCAUUCCAGCCAUAUAAAAGCAUACAGUGAAUCUAAAUCUUGCUAUGUAGUUUACAAAAAUUACAAUCUUAUGUCUAUACAGUGAGAUAUAUAGUCUUCCAUUCUCUGCAGUUCUUUUUUUUUUUUUUUUAUAGAGAGGACUGGAAAUGAUUUGGAGAGAGAUGGAACAACAUGUCUUUAAACCAUGCUUACAAGUUCAGGCUGAACUUAUAACCCUUAAAGACCUCAUAAUCUCACCUCAGUUGCCUUUGACCAGGUCGCACAUUGUGUACAAAGUGUGGACUUUGCCUCUUAAAGAAUGACUAACCUUUGAACAAAUAUACUGGGUGUGUUUGUGUCAACAGAAUGAUGCAAAACUCUAAAAUUAUGUGCAACUCUUGCACACACAAACAUACAUGUGCCAUAACAACUUUGUUAGUGAGCAGGAAAACAUAAUGCUUUGCAUUAUUUUUAACAUUGCACUUGUUUCUACAGCAUCAAAACACAUCACCACAGCUACAAAUUAGCAUUUCCCCCCAGUGUCGCACCUUCUCGUUACUUCUCUUUUCUUUGCUGUACGUUUCUUAGUUACUUCCUCUUUCUAAAUUCCUAAUUCUGAAAUAUAAAACAAAUCUCACAGGUUUACAAUCCUAUCAUGUUCACAUUCAGCUCUCAUUGUGCCUGCUUUGCCCACAGAGAAGGGAAAGAAAGUUGUUGCACAGUAAUUUAGACAAUAAAUCCUCAAUGAACUAUAUUUAAGCCUGUGUGCAACUAAAAUUAGUGAAGGAUCUACCACUUUUUUUCUGUAAACAAAUUAUAGAUGGCAUAAGAGCAGACAUCCUUUAUAAUUUAUCAUUUUUAUUUAUACUAUAAUUAUAGAGUAGAAUACUUAAUCAGUGCUUUUUUUUUUUAGUAAAACCCAUAGGGAAAAAAAUAAAUAAAAAUUAUUUAUAUAUAUUAUAUUAUAUUAUAUUAUAUUAUAUUAUAUUGUGUGUGUAUAUAUAUAUAUAUAUAUAUAUAUAUAUAUAUAUAUAGUUAAAUCUUCAGAUGUUGAAAUAAAUACACUAGGGCUGCAACUAACGAUUAUUUUGAUAAUCGAUUAAUCGGUCGAUUAAUUUUACGAUUAAUCGAUGAAUCGGUUUAUGUACUUAUAUUUUAGUUUUGCCCAUUUUUUCCCCAAGUAAAUUAUUAACAAAGGGUCUUUAUCAUUCAACAUAGACUUUUUAGAGAUUUUAACCAUUUUGCAUUGUCAUAUCCUCAUCAAAAACAUACCUGGAGUUGUGUUUUAUUAUGUGUUAGUUAUCCUUUGUCGAACUCUUCUGCAAUCAAAACACUGACCCAUACAUACUCUAGCAAAUUUCACAAGGAGAUUUCAAAUAAUGUUUUCACCAUGGCAUUCCUUAGGGCUCCUAAAGUAGUUUAACAUCCCGAACAAAGCUUAUUAAGGAAUCUUUCAGAACAUAUUAUCACAAAGAAUAAGAAUAAAACAGAAUUAAAAUUGCAGUAAAUUGCAUUUUAUUAUUCUUUUCCUGUAAACACACAGCUUAUACCUGGGAAACAGCUUUAUAGCUUAUGCUGUGAAAUUGUAAACAAUCCUUCCAAUAAAGUGCCAAUGGCAUGAAACCUGAAUGGAACUCACAUUUUAAAGUAAAAUUUAAAGUAAAAUCCAUCAGAAGGUUGUCCAGAAAAAAAAUUGGACACACACAAAAAACCUGCUGUGUGAAAAAGAGCAGUGAAUGCUUAGAAAAAAGUGCAUUUCAAAUACAUUUAAACAUUAACCUCUCUCAGUCAGUCAUAAUUAGGCUGCAAGACUGAAUUAUGAACUGGUAAACGACAAAGCUUUAAAUGUUAAUUGCUAAAAAGCAAUGUUAUCAGCUUUUAUGACUAAACAUUUGCAAACAACAUUGUACUGCAGAAUCUACACAAAUAAAAGUCUUUGCACACUGUGAUUUUCAUCGGAUUUAAAUAUGUAGUGGUCCUUAUAACAGUGCAAAAUUUCAAAAAUGUAAUAAAGCGAUAAAAUGUUAACAAAACAGCUUAUGCCUGAACUGACAACAAUUCGACUACCUGUGGGAAAUGAGGCAGAACACUAUUCACUCAUUAUUUGAGAAAAACUUUGCAUUGCAGUGCAAAAAGGUCAACAUGUCCAAAUGUUCAGGGCUUAACAGUUAGGCUUGCUCUCUUUUUGCUCCCACACUUUGGAUGACUUCGUCCAAUUAGGUUUAUCUUCCGCUUUUUUCUUUUUCUUACUCGAGCUUACUUCACUGCCGCGUGCCUCACCCAUCACGCUGAAUGCUGCAGAGAGACGCUGUGCGGGAAGCACGUGACAUAAAACGAGGCCAGCUAUUGGCUAGUCGCUACUUCUCCUGCUGUACUGGCUGAGUAAAACCUCCGGUGGCUCAUUACUGCCACACUUUGGUCACCACAGAUUUAAAAUAUGCACGAAAUGAGCCGCUUACGGCAAAUAAAAAUUAUUUAGCAACGAAUCGAUUACUAAAUUAGUUGACAACUAUUUUAAUAAUCGAUUAAAUCGAUUAGUUGUUUCAGCUCUAAAAUACACACAAAUAUAUUAUAUUAUAUUAUAUUAAUAUAUUGAAUAAACGUCUUUUUAAAAUAUGUUUUGAACAAUAUAUUUUGACUGUAAAUAUAUUGAAAUAU